GCAGAUGGAUCUGGUUAGAUAUACGGAAACGUUGGAAGAAACAAAUCGUAAAUUGGUUGAAACGGAUGAACACCUUGCAGUACUUAAAUCACAGUUGGCAGCGAGUGAGAAAUCAAAUAGCCUAGCCGAGACGCAGUUGAAGUGUAUGGCCGAGUCUUACAAGUCACUGGAAUCGCGCACACGCGAACUCGAAGUACAUGCACAAGAGCUAGAGAGUGAGAUCAACUUGCUCCGUACGAAAGCAGAGACAUUAGAUAGUGAGCUUCAGGAAGAAAGACAGUGUCAUGAGGUUGAUUUGGCUAAAUACAAUGAACUUCUAGAGCAGAUCGAAAGGAACGAGAAGUCAUCUAUGUGUUCAUUUCCGACAG
rnacentral:misc_RNA from 1 species